rnacentral:rRNA from 1 species
AUUGAACGCUGGCGGCAGGCCUAACACGUGCAAGUCGAACGGUAACAGGAAGCAGCUUGCUGCUUCGCUGACGAGUGGCGGACGGGAGAGAAAUGUGUGGGAAGCUGCCUGAUGGAGGGGGAUAACUACUGGAAACGGUAGCUAAUACCGCAUAAUGUCUCAAGACCAAAGAGGGGGACUUUCGGGCCUCUUUCCAUCGGAUGAGCCCAGAUGGGAUUAGCUUGUUGGUGGGGUAACGGCUAACCAAGGCCACGAUCCCUAGCUGGUCUGAGAGGAUGACCAGCCACACUGGGACUGAGACACGGUCCAGACUCCUACGGGAGGCAGCAGUGGGGAAUAUUGCACAAUGGGCGCAAGCCUGAUGCAGCCAUGCCGCGUGUAUGAAGAAGGCCUUCGGGUUGUAAAGUACUUUCAGCGGGGAGGAAGGGAGUAAAGUUAAUACCUUUGCUCAUUGACGUUACCCGCAGAAGAAGCACCGGCUAACUCCGUG